GCCAGGUGUGGUGGUGUACACCUGUAAUCUAAGUGGCUCCGGAGGCUGAGGCAGAAGGAUUGCAAGUUCAUAACCAGCCUCAUCAACUUUAGUGAGGAUCUAAGCAACUUAGUGGGAUAGUGGGACUCUGUCUCAA
rnacentral:sRNA from 1 species